rnacentral:tRNA from 2 species
GGACGCUUAGCUCAGUGGUAGAGCACAUCCUUCACACGGAUGGGGUCGCAGGUUCGAAACCUGCAGCGUCCACCA